rnacentral:rRNA from 1 species
UGCAGUCGAGCGAACAGACAAGGAGCUUGCUCCUUUGACGUUAGCGGCGGACGGGUGAGUAACACGUGGGUAACCUACCUAUAAGACUGGGAUAACUUCGGGAAACCGGAGCUAAUACCGGAUAAUAUUUCGAACCGCAUGGUUCGAUAGUGAAAGAUGGUUUUGCUAUCACUUAUAGAUGGACCCGCGCCGUAUUAGCUAGUUGGUAAGGUAACGGCUUACCAAGGCGACGAUACGUAGCCGACCUGAGAGGGUGAUCGGCCACACUGGAACUGAGACACGGUCCAGACUCCUACGGGAGGCAGCAGUAGGGAAUCUUCCGCAAUGGGCGAAAGCCUGACGGAGCAACGCCGCGUGAGUGAUGAAGGUCUUCGGAUCGUAAAACUCUGUUAUUAGGGAAGAACAUACGUGUAAGUAACUAUGCACGUCUUGACGGUACCUAAUCAGAAAGCCACGGCUAACUACGUGCCAGCAGCCGCGGUAAUACGUAGGUGGCAAGCGUUAUCCGGAAUUAUUGGGCGUAAAGCGCGCGUAGGCGGUUUUUUAAGUCUGAUGUGAAAGCCCACGGCUCAACCGUGGAGGGUCAUUGGAAACUGGAAAACUUGAGUGCAGAAGAGGAAAGUGGAAUUCCAUGUGUAGCGGUGAAAUGCGCAGAGAUAUGGAGGAACACCAGUGGCGAAGGCGACUUUCUGGUCUGUAACUGACGCUGAUGUGCGAAAGCGUGGGGAUCAAACAGGAUUAGAUACCCUGGUAGUCCACGCCGUAAACGAUGAGUGCUAAGUGUUAGGGGGUUUCCGCCCCUUAGUGCUGCAGCUAACGCAUUAAGCACUCCGCCUGGGGAGUACGACCGCAAGGUUGAAACUCAAAGGAAUUGACGGGGACCCGCACAAGCGGUGGAGCAUGUGGUUUAAUUCGAAGCAACGCGAAGAACCUUACCAAAUCUUGACAUCCUUUGACAACUCUAGAGAUAGAGCCUUCCCCUUCGGGGGACAAAGUGACAGGUGGUGCAUGGUUGUCGUCAGCUCGUGUCGUGAGAUGUUGGGUUAAGUCCCGCAACGAGCGCAACCCUUAAGCUUAGUUGCCAUCAUUAAGUUGGGCACUCUAAGUUGACUGCCGGUGACAAACCGGAGGAAGGUGGGGAUGACGUCAAAUCAUCAUGCCCCUUAUGAUUUGGGCUACACACGUGCUACAAUGGACAAUACAAAGGGCAGCGAAACCGCGAGGUCAAGCAAAUCCCAUAAAGUUGUUCUCAGUUCGGAUUGUAGUCUGCAACUCGACUACAUGAAGCUGGAAUCGCUAGUAAUCGUAGAUCAGCAUGCUACGGUGAAUACGUUCCCGGGUCUUGUACACACCGCCCGUCACACCACGAGAGUUUGUAACACCCGAAGCCGGUGGAGUAACCAUUGGAGCUAGCCGUCGAAG